rnacentral:rRNA from 1 species
AUCAGCUUGUUGGUGAGGUAACGGCUCACCAAGGGGACGACGGGAUACCGGCCUGAGAGGGCGACCGGCCACACUGGGACUGAGACACGGCCCAGACUCCUACGGGAGGCAGCAGUGGGGAAUAUUGCACAAUGGGCGAAAGCCUGAUGCAGCGACGCCGCGUGAGGGAUGACGGCCUUCGGGUUGUAAACCUCUUUCAGCAGGGAAGAAGCGAAAGUGACGGUACCUGCAGAAGAAGCGCCGGCUAACUACGUGCCAGCAGCCGCGGUAAUACGUAGGGCGCGAGCGUUGUCCGGAAUUAUUGGGCGUAAAGAGCUCGUAGGCGGCUUGUCACGUCGGUUGUGAAAGCCCGGGGCUUAACCCCGGGUCUGCAGUCGAUACGGGCAGGCUAGAGUUCGGUAGGGGAGAUCGGAAUUCCUGGUGUAGCGGUGAAAUGCGCAGAUAUCAGGAGGAACACCGGUGGCGAAGGCGGAUCUCUGGGCCGAUACUGACGCUGAAGAGCGAAAGCGUGGGGAGCGAACAGGAUUAGAUACCCUGGUAGUCCACGCCGUAAACGGUGGGCACUAUGUGUGGGCAACAUUCCACGUUGUCCGUGCCGCAGCUAACGCAUUAAGUGCCCCGCCCUGGGGGAGUACGGCCGCAAGGCUAAAACUCACGGAAUUUGACGGGGGCCCGCACAAGCGGCGGAGCAUGUGGCUUAAUUCGACGCAACGCGAAGAACCUUACCAAGGCUUGACAUACACCGGAAAACCCUGGAGACAGGGUCCCCCUUGUGGUCGGUGUACAGGUGGUGCAUGGCUGUCGUCAGCUCGUGUCGUGAGAUGUUGGGUUAAGUCCCGCAACGAGCGCAACCCUUGUCCCGUGUUGCCAGCAGGCCCUUGUGGUGCUGGGGACUCACGGGAGACCGCCGGGGUCAACUCGGAGGAAGGUGGGGACGACGUCAAGUCAUCAUGCCCCUUAUGUCUUGGGCUGCACACGUGCUACAAUGGCCGGUACAAUGAGCUGCGAUACCGCGAGGUGGAGCGAAUCUCAAAAAGCCGGUCUCAGUUCGGAUUGGGGUCUGCAACUCGACCCCAUGAAGUCGGAGUCGCUAGUAAUCGCAGAUCAGCAUUGCUGCGGUGAAUACGUUCCCGGGCCUUGUACACACCGCCCGUCACGUCACGAAAGUCGGUAACACCCGAA